ACAACACUAUUAAGUCUUGAGAAUAAAACAAAAAUACAAUCGGCACUCCAUUCCACCUACCUCCGCCCUAGCCCUACCGCCGUCCUUCCCUUGUCGUCGCAUCUCAACCGCGCGUCGCUGCCAUUGCGCCGCCGCGAGUAACAAUCACUCAAUUUACGCGAGGCUAGCUAUUUGAGUUUUUUUCAUUAUUUUGAAUGGGAACGUAGUGGAAUUAGUUGAUUUAGGGUUUAUAUAGGAGAUUUCUGUAUGUUAUUUCCGAUUUUCUUUUUCCACAUAUUGAUUUUUAAGAGUUUGUUGAAAUAAUCAGAAUUCUAAUUGGGUCACAACCUGCAAUUUGGCGUAUUGUUCAUGAAAUGCCUUUAUUUACUUUGUUGAUUUAACAUUUUAACUCUUCCAUAUCAGUGUAUGCAACCAUUUCUAGAAAACAAAAAUUUGCCUCGUUUAGGUUGAGAUUGUGAUUUAUUAGUGUGGUGACUGAUUGAUAUUGUAUCUGAUUGAGAAUGUAUGCAGUCAUUUUUACUCCUGCAAUUUGGCCACAUCCUGCAAUUUUGGAAUUUCUGAAUGGAAAAUGAUUUCCUAUAGAGUGGUGAUGAUGCUAGGCGAUUUAUGAAAUUCAUACUCUCUAAUCUUGGUGUUGGUAAAGGAAACUUUUGUACCUUUACUUAAAUGACUCUAAUAUUUUGUACCUUACAGUUACAAUGUCUCUAAGCUUCUUUUGUAGGUACUUUUGAUUGUGUUUAUUUUAAUGGAGGUUACCUUUUGCUGCCACUUGUUAAGACGGAGACAGAUUAGUUCUACUUCUACCUUUGGAAAUGAAAAUAGGCUGAAUGAGAGACUUGACCUUUAUCAAGACCGAAUGCCAACGAGGCUUAGGCGAUGGAAUCAUCACAUACUCUGUUUUGACGCCCAAACUUCAGGAACGGAGGCAGCCUUAGUAAAGUUAAAUACAUGUUGUUCUGGACAGUAAUGAAGCUCUCUUGAGCUCCUGAGGUGGCUCUAGGCUAUGGGAUUGAGUAAUGUGUGCCUCUAAGAUCCAAAAGGUGCAGGAGGCAAAUAUACUGAAAAAUAGAAGAAUCCCUGAGAGUGAAUUGAUGAUCAGUGUUAAAUAUUUUGGUGAAUUGGUGUGUUUCACCUUUAUCAUGUUAUUAACCUAUCACGUUUUUGGGUGGAAGUUGUGAUGUUAAGUUCGUAGAAUAUUGUUCUAAAAUUGUAUAGUACUAUGCAUUAAUAUAUAGCUUAUGUACUUACAUGUUGGUCUUUA